rnacentral:rRNA from 1 species
GCCAGACUCCUACGGGAGGCAGCAGUGGGGAAUAUUGCACAAUGGGGGGAACCCUGAUGCAGCGACGCCGCGUGGGUGAAGAAGUCCUUCGUGACGUAAAGCCCUAUCAGCAGGGAAGAAAAUGACGGUACCUGACUAAGAAGCCCCGGCUAACUACGUGCCAGCAGCCGCGGUAAUACGUAGGGGGCAAGCGUUAUCCGGAUUUACUGGGUGUAAAGGGGGCGCAGACGGCGAUGCAAGCCAGGAGUGAAAGCCCGGGGCCCAACCCCGGGACUGCUCUUGGAACUGCGUGGCUGGAGUGUAGGAGAGGCAGGCGGAAUUCCUAGUGUAGCGGUGAAAUGCGUAGAUAUUAGGAGGAACACCAGUGGCGAAGGCGGCCUGCUGGACGAUGACUGACGCUGAGGCUCGAAAGCGUGGGGAGCAAACAGGAUUAGAUACCCGCGUAAC